UACGUAGGGAGCAAGCGUUGUCCGGAAUCAUUGGGCGUAAAGCGCGCGUAGGUGGCCCCGUAAGUCCGCUGUGAAAGUCAAGGGCUCAACCCUUGAAAGCCGGGCCGAUACUGUCGGACUAGAGUCCGGAAGAGGCGAGUGGAAUUCCCGGUGUAGCGGUGAAAUGCCGCAGAUAUCGGGAGGAACACCAAUGGCGAAGGCAGCUCGCUGGGACGGUACUGACGCUGAGGCGCGAAAGCGUGGGGAGCAAACAGG
rnacentral:rRNA from 1 species